UACGGAGGGUGCAAGCGUUAUCCGGAUUCACUGGGUUUAAAGGGUGCGUAGGCGGGUAAGUAAGUCCGUGGUGAAAUCUCUGGGCUUAACCCAGAAAGGUCAACCGAUACUGCGGGGCUAGAGUGCAGAAGGGGCAACUGGAAUUCUCGGUGUAGCGGUGAAAUGCGUAGAUAUCGAGAGGAACACCUGCGGCGAAGGCGGGUUGCUGGGCUGACACUGACGCUGAAGCGCGAAAGCUAGGGGAGCGAACGGG
rnacentral:rRNA from 1 species